rnacentral:misc_RNA from 1 species
GGAAGUAAAAGUCGUAACAAAGGUUUCCGUAGGUGAACCUGCGGAAGGAUCAUUAUUGUAUAACCGAGGUGCGAGGGCUGUCGCUGACCCGAAAGGUCGUGCACGCCCGAGUGCCCUCACACACAUCCAUCUCACCCCUAUGUGCACCACCGCGUGGGUCCCCCUUUGGCUUGUUCGGAGGGGGGCUUACGUUUUCACACAAACUUUGUAUGCCGUGUAGAAUGUAUUUUUUGUUUUUGCGAUCACGCAAUCAAUACAACUUUCAACAACGGAUCUCUUGGCUCUC